AGAUUAAGCCAUGCAUGUCUCAGUAUAAGCUUCUACACGGCGAAACUGCGAAUGGCUCAUUAAAACAGUUAUCGUUUAUUUGGUGGUCAUUCAGUACAUGGAUAACCAUGGUAAUUCUAGAGCUAAUACAUGCGCCCAGACCCAACUUUGUGGAAGGGUUGUGUUUAUUAGGUACAGAACCAACCCAGGCUCUGCCUGGUCUUUUGGUGAUUCAUGAUAACCGAACGAAUCGCAUGGCAUCAGCUGGCGAUGAAUCAUUCAAGUUUCUGACCUAUCAGCUUCCGACGGUAGGGUAUUGGCCUACCGUGGCAAUGACGGGUAACGGAGAAUUAGGGUUCGAUUCCGGA
rnacentral:rRNA from 1 species